rnacentral:rRNA from 1 species
GGGGAAUAUUGGACAAUGGGGGCAACCCUGAUCCAGCGAUGCCGCGUGAGUGAAGAAGGCCUUCGGGUUGUAAAACUCUUUCACCUGUGACGAUGAUGACGGUAGCAGGAGAAGAAGCACCGGCUAACUCCGUGCCAGCAGCCGCGGUAAGACGGAGGGUGCUAGCGUUGUUCGGAAUGACUGGGCGUAAAGGGCGCGUAGGCGGCUUUAUUAGUUGGGCGUGAAAGCCCCGGGCUUAACCUGGGAACUGCGUUCAAUACCGUAAGGCUUGAGGACGGAAGAGGAGAGUGGAAUUCCUAGUGUAGAGGUGAAAUUCGUAGAUAUUAGGAGGAACACCAGAGGCGAAGGCGGCUCUCUGGUCCGUUACUGACGCUGAGGCGCGAAAGCGUGGGGAGCAAA